rnacentral:ncRNA from 1 species
UUCCGAUAAAGGCAAACCAAUUCCGAAAGGGUGGGACGCAAAACCAAAGGCCUAAUUUGGUAAUAAAAUACCAAUAAGGCGGCUGGGUUGCCGAA